rnacentral:rRNA from 1 species
UACGGAGGGUGCAAGCGUUAUCCGGAUUUACUGGGCUUAAAGGGUGCGUAGGCGGCUUUGUAAGUCAGUGGUGAAAUCUUAGAGCUUAACUCUAAAACUGCCAUUGAUACUGCUUAGCUUGAAUCAAGUAGAGGUGGAUGGAAUAAUACAUGUAGCGGUGAAAUGCUUAGAUAUGUAUUAGAACACCGAUUGCGAAGGCAGUUCACUAUGCUUGUAUUGACACUGAGGCACGAAAGCGUGGGGAUCAAACAGG